UGGAGUGGGCGAGGCGGUUGCUCCCUUCCCCGGCGGGGAGGGGGAGGAAAGUCCGAACUCCGCAGGGCAGGAUGGUCGCUAACGGCGACUCCGGGCGAUCGGAGGAAAGUGCCACAGAGACCAGACCGCCCCGGCCGGGCCUUCGGGCCGGGCCGGAGCAAGGGUGAAACGGCGAGGUAAGAGCUCACCGGCCCCGCGGCGACGCGGGGCGCACGGCAAACCCCAUCCGGAGCAAGGCCAAAGAGACCCCGUUCGAGGACGGCCCGUCCGAAGGGGUGGGUAGGCCGCAGGACCGUCCGGGCAACCGGUCGGCCAGAUAAAUAACCGCCCCCGCCCGCGCGGGAACAGAAUUCGGCUUACGUCCCCCUCCAGCCG
rnacentral:RNase_P_RNA from 1 species